GACGAACGCUGGCGGCGUGCUUAACACAUGCAAGUCGAACGGCAAGGCCCUACUUGUGUGGGGUGCUCGAGGGGCGAACGGGUGAGUAACACGUGAGUAACCUACCCUAGACUUUGGGAUAACUUCAGGAAACUGGAGCUAAUACCGGAUAGCAGAUCCUGCUCCAGUGUGAGGGUUGGAAAGUUUCGGCUGGUGGGGAUGGACUCGCGGCUUAUCAGCUUGUUGGUGGGGGAGUGGCUUACCAAGGCUGUGACGGGUAGCUGGCCUGAGAGGGUGACCGGCCACAUUGGGACCGAGAGACGGCCGAGGCUGCUAAUGGAGGAAGCAGUGGGGAAUACUGCACCAUGGGUGGAAGGCUGAUGAAGAAACGCCGCGUGCGGGAUAGCGGUCUUCGUGUUGUAGAACGGCUGCGCGUGUAUCGCAGGGUGAGCUAACGGAAUGCGUAGAGUAGGAACCGGUUACCAUCGU
rnacentral:rRNA from 1 species